AUUAUAACUACCUUAUUGCUUUAAAACAUAUAAUUAAAAAAAACUUUGACCAAUAGACAUAUAAUGUAAAAGAUCUGGAGCUAUAAUUAAUGGCAAAAAAAAGUUUUUACAUAACAGUUUCUUGUGUAUAAUUCGGAGUUUAGUAUGACGUCCAUUAUCACUGUACCUGUAUACAUAUUUUUUAAGGGGCCAGCUGAAGGAUGUCUAUGGGUGCGGGAGUUUCUCACUUCAUUGAAGACCCAUUGGCUGCCUUCAACCGUUGUCUGCUCUAUGUUCGGGUUGUUGUCCCUUUGACCUAUACCCCAUUUCCUUUCUCAAAUUGAUAUUCUUCUUUUUAUAGGUUAAGACUUUUAUUUAACAUAAAUAGUCCUUGCAUAUAUUAAAUUAUUGUAUUAAGAUAAGAUGGUUGUGUUAUCUGUUUCAUUUAGUGAAUCAUUAAAUAAAGUAAUCAUCUAAAAAUGAUAAUGAGAAAAUGUUUGAGCCAGCC
rnacentral:lncRNA from 1 species